AUGCAUCUCUACCAGCUGAACUCACCCCGUCUGAGGUACAAAACGUUUGUGCAGUGCAGCUCCCUGUGCUCAGCUCCCACAGUGGCCAGACUUGCAACCCCUUUCCACUGGUGUUACAGGUAUUCCCUCAUGGAUGGAGCCUAUUAGUAGAUGUGACCAUGAAAAGACCACGGCCUACAAAGUGAGGUAUUUGCAUCUUCAGCUCCCCAGAGAUAAUUUAAUGAUUUACAAAAACAAAGAUGUCUGCCCUCAAAUUAAUCCUUGAUGGCCAAUGAGAUGAUGAAACCCACAAUAAAUUAGAUGAUCAUUCUCCAAGUUCCCAAAUGAUAGCUUUGAAGUCUUCUACUGCCUAUUACAAGUAUUCGGAUACUUCCCCAGCAAGGGUGGGCAGAAAGCCAACACAAGCCACCAGGUGCCAAUAUUACACCUGACAAAUUAGCCACACGACUGGAAAAGGGUGGGCCCAUCCUCCUGUUGGAGUUUCAUUUCCUCUCAUUUUCCCAUGAACAGGAAGUCAUUGGAAUGGGGAAAAAAGCUUUCCUUAAAGACCCAUAUGACCAAAGGUCUGAACUUGUUAACUCCUUGCUAACAAACAACUUGGAAGUCAAUUCAAACUAAUCACAAGACUUUAUUUACAUUGACUUGUGUAAUCCUGCUGAUGGCCUGGAGUCCAGGAUGUUAUGAUUUAUUUAACACUCAGGUUGUUGAUGGGGCACAGUGGGGCAUGCCCUUCAAUGUCAUAUGGAAUAAUUAUAGAGACAGAAGAGGCAGAUCGAUCACAGGCCUUGCAUAAAUCUUGGGAACCUGAAGAUUAAAGGGGUCCUGGUUAGAUCUGAUAGAAGCCAUAGUAUAGGUCCACAGUCAUAUUUAAUUCACACAAUGCAACAAGAUUAAUGGAAGAAUUUGGUAAGAACUCAUUGAGAGUCCAUAAAAUACUAAGAUGUAUUCAUGUAAUAUGUGAUUCAAUUGAAUGCCCUGACCAACUUGCAACUCCCACCUAAAGAUUAGUUACUCAGCUUGAUGAGUGUUAAAUCAAGUAUAAUAAAGGAAUGUUUUCUAGCUGAGAAAUAAUCCAAAGAACGAAGAUGUAUAUUUAGGCCUAUCUUAACAUCAUCACUAGGGAUAACCACAUAAUAAUAAUGACAUAUAUGAUUAUUAAAAUUAUAUUUUAGGGGGGCUGGCACUGUGGCACAGUAGGUUAAGCCUCUGCCUGUGGCACCAGCAUCCCAUAUGGGUGCCGGUUCUAGUCCCGGCUGCUCCUCUUCCAAUCCAGCUCUCUGCUAUGGCCUGGGAAAGCAGUGGAAGAUGGUCUAAGCCCUUAGGCCCCUGCACCCACAUGGGAGACCUGGCUCCUGGCUUCAGAGCUGCACAGCUUUGGCCAUUGUGGCCAUUUGAGGAAUGAACCAGCAAAUGGAAAACCUUUCACUCUGCCUCUCCCUCUCACUGUCUGUAACUCUACCUUGCAAAUAAGUAAAUAAAAU